AGCAUAUCAAUAAGCGGAGGAAAAGAAACUAACAAGGAUUCCCCUAGUAACGGCGAGUGAAGCGGGAAGAGCUCAAAUUUAAAAUCUGGCAGUGUAUUCUGUCCGAGUUGUAGUCUAGAGAAGCAUCAUCCGUGCUGGACCAUGUACAAGUCUCUUGGAACAGAGCGUCAUAGAGGGUGAGAAUCCCGUCCUUGACAUGGACUCCCAGUACUUUGUGUUGUGCUCUCAACGAGUCGAGUUGUUUGGGAAUGCAGCUCAAAAUGGGUGGUAAAUUCCAUCUAAAGCUAAAUAUUGGCGAGAGACCGAUAGCGAACAAGUACCGUGAGGGAAAGAUGAAAAGCACUUUGGAGAGAGAGUUAAACAGUACGUGAAAUUGUUGAAAUGGAAACGCUUGAAGUCAGUCGCGUUCUCUGGGAUUCAGCCUUGCUUUUGCUUGGUGCAUUUCCCGGUCUACGGGCCAGCAUGAAUUUUGACCAAUGGAAAAAGGCUUGGGGAAUGUGGCACCUUCGGGUGUGUUAUAGCCCCUUGUCACAUACGUUGGUUGGGAUUGAGGUCUUAGUGCACGCUUCGGUUGUGCUUUGAUGCUGGCGUAAUGGCUUUAAACGACCCGUCUUGAAACACGGACCAAGGAGUCUAACAUGUCUGCAAGUGUUUGGGUGCAAAACCCGAGCGCGUAAUGAAAGUGAUAGUUGGGAACCUCUUCAGAGGGGCACCGACGCCCGGACCAGACCUUCUGUGACGGAUCCGAGGUAGAGCAUAUAUGUUGGGACCCGAAAGAUGGUGAACUAUGCCUGCAUAGGGUGAAGCCAGAGGAAACUCUGGUGGAGGCUCGUAGCGAUUCUGACGUGCAAAUCGAUCGUCAAAUGUGGGUAUAGGGGCGAAAGACUAAUCGAACCAU
rnacentral:rRNA from 1 species